rnacentral:rRNA from 1 species
UACGUAGGGGGCAAGCGUUGUCCGGAUUCAUUGGGCGUAAAGAGCGUGUAGGCGGCCAGGUAGGUCGGUUGUGAAAACUGGAGGCUCAACCUUCAGACGUCGAUCGAAACCAUCUGGCUAGAGUCCGGGAGAGGAGAGUGGAAUUCCUGGUGUAGCGGUGAAAUGCGCAGAUAUCAGGAAGAACACCCGUGGCUAAGGCGGCUCUCUAGUACGGUACUGACGCUGAGACGCGAAAGCGUGGGGAGCGAACAGG